GACGAACGCUGGCGGCGUGCUUAACACAUGCAAGUCGAACGGAAAGGCCCUGCUUUUGUGGGGUGCUCGAGUGGCGAGCGGGUGAGUAACACGUGAGUAACCUGCCCUUGACUUUGGGAUAACUUCAGGAAACUGGGGCUAAUACCGGAUAGGAGCUCCUGCUGCAUGGUGGGGGUUGGAAAGUUUCGGCGGUUGGGGAUGGACUCGCGGCUUAUCAGCUUGUUGGUGGGGUAGUGGCUUACCAAGGCUUUGACGGGUAGCCGGCCUGAGAGGGUGACCGGCCACAUUGGGACUGAGAUACGGCCCAGACUCCUACGGGAGGCAGCAGUGGGGAAUAUUGCACAAUGGGCGGAAGCCUGAUGCAGCAACGCCGCGUGCGGGAUGACGGCCUUCGGGUUGUAAACCGCUUUCGCCUGUGACGAAGCGUGAGUGACGGUAAUGGGUAAAGAAGCACCGGCUAACUACGUGCCAGCAGCCGCGGUGAUACGUAGGGUGCGAGCGUUGUCCGGAUUUAUUGGGCGUAAAGGGCUCGUAGGUGGUUGAUCGCGUCGGAAGUGUAAUCUUGGGGCUUAACCCUGAGCGUGCUUUCGAUACGGGUUGACUUGAGGAAGGUAGGGGAGAAUGGAAUUCCUGGUGGAGCGGUGGAAUGCGCAGAUAUCAGGAGGAACACCAGUGGCGAAGGCGGUUCUCUGGGCCUUUCCUGACGCUGAGGAGCGAAAGCGUGGGGAGCGAACAGGCUUAGAUACCCUGGUAGUCCACGCUGUAAACGGUGGGUACUAGGUGUGGGGUCCAUUCCACGGGUUCCGUGCCGUAGCUAACGCUUUAAGUACCCCGCCUGGGGAGUACGGCCGCAAGGCUAAAACUCAAAGGAAUUGACGGGGCCCCGCACAAGCGGCGGAGCAUGCGGAUUAAUUCGAUGCAACGCGUAGAACCUUACCUGGGUUUGACAUGGAUCGGGAGUGCUCAGAGAUGGGUGUGCCUCUUUUGGGGUCGGUUCACAGGUGGUGCAUGGCUGUCGUCAGCUCGUGUCGUGAGAUGUUGGGUUAAGUCCCGCAACGAGCGCAACCCUUGUUCACUGUUGCCAGCACGUUAUGGUGGGGACUCAGUGGAGACCGCCGGGGUCAACUCGGAGGAAGGUGGGGAUGACGUCAAGUCAUCAUGCCCCUUAUGUCCAGGGCUUCACGCAUGCUACAAUGGCUGGUACAGAGAGUGGCGAGCCUGUGAGGGUGAGCGAAUCUCGGAAAGCCGGUCUCAGUUCGGAUUGGGGUCUGCAACUCGACCUCAUGAAGUCGGAGUCGCUAGUAGUCGCAGAUCAGCAACGCUGCGGUGAAUACGUUCCCGGG
rnacentral:rRNA from 1 species